AGUACAUCAAUAAGCGGAGGAAAAGAAACCAACAGGGAUUGCCCUAGUAACGGCGAGUGAAGCGGCAACAGCUCAAAUUUGAAAUCUGGCUCUUUCAGAGUCCGAGUUGUAAUUUGCAGAGGGCGCUUUGGCGUUGGCAGCGGUCCAAGUUCCUUGGAACAGGACGUCACAGAGGGUGAGAAUCCCGUACGUGGUCGCUGGCCUUCGCCGUGUAAAGCCCCUUCGACGAGUCGAGUUGUUUGGGAAUGCAGCUCUAAAUGGGAGGUAAAUUUCUUCUAAAGCUAAAUACUGGCCAGAGACCGAUAGCGCACAAGUAGAGUGAUCGAAAGAUGAAAAGCACUUUGGAAAGAGAGUCAAAUAGCACGUGAAAUUGUUGAAAGGGAAGCGCUUGCAGCCAGACUUGCCUGUAGUUGCUCAUCCGGGCUCUUGCCCGGUGCACUCUUCUAUAGGCAGGCCAGCAUCAGUUUGGGCGGUUGGAUAAAGGUCUCUGUCAUGUACCUCUCUUCGGGGAGGCCUUAUAGGGGAGACGACAUGCAACCAGCCUGGACUGAGGUCCGCGCAUUCGCUAGGAUGCUGGCGUAAUGGCUGUAAGCGGCCCGUCUUGAAACACGGACCAAGGAGUCUAACAUCUAUGCGAGUGUUUGGGUGUCAAGCCCGAACGCGUAAUGAAAGUGAACGGAGGUGGGAACCCUUACGGGUGCACCAUCGACCGAUCCUGAUGUCUUCGGAAGGAUUUGAGUAAGAGCAUGGCUGUUGGGACCCGAAAGAUGGUGAACUAUGCUUGAAUAGGGUGAAGCCAGAGGAAACUCUGGUGGAGGCUCGCAGCGGUUCUGACGUGCAAAUCGAUCGUCAAAUUUGGGCAUAGGGGCGAAAGACUAAUCGAAC
rnacentral:rRNA from 1 species